UAAUGUACGAUGGGCGAACUUCUACUGCUUAUAAAUUUAUCGAUUUCCAAUUGCAGCGUGAUCAUUUGCCAAUGAUGAUCUUUUGACCAGGAAUUCUAAUUCAUGGUUCUACUGUAUCUCAUCGGCUCUAUGAAGUCAUCUUCCUUGUAAUUGGAGAUACUAAAUGAUUGCCUUAUGAUUGGUUUCAUUUGCUUUGGUGUUUGCUUUGAAGGCAUGAAUUUUGAAGCAUCUGGCUGGGUCUUUUUUAAGGACAAUGUUGGCGACAGCUCCGAUUUUAUACAGAAAGGUCUAUCCAAGCUAUUAAGGUUCGAACGCUGAUCGUAUCGACUAAUUUUGUGGCUUCCAUGCUAUACGGACUUGUUCAGUUGUUAGAGAAUCCAGUUUAGAGCGAUCCCACUAAGGACCGUGUGAGGAUGCAAAUUGAACAAAACUGUUAGAGAAUCCUAGUUCUUUAGUUGGGGAAGGCAGGAGGUUAUUAAUUAAUGCAAUUAUGUUUAGUUGAGAAACUGAAUUUUGUUUUUUUUUUCCUGUGGAUUGGAGGGAUGAGCGAUGUCUGGAUCUUUCCAUAGGGAUCGUCUGUUUUUAUUUUUAUUUUUGGGGAGAUGCAAUGAACGUCUAGUUCUAUUCCUGUUGUAAAUUAUUUGUUUCUACUUUGAAUUGGUUUGGUGCAGUCCAUAGAAGCAUUCUUGUUGGGAUUCUCUUUAUAUUGAAGUUCCAGUUGAUAUAAAUUUGCCCGACAAAUUAGUUUUAUAUUGCUUGUGUGUUGAAAAGUUACUAGGCCAUCAGCUUGCACGAUCCCUCUACAUGGAUUUACCCCCUGACUUUCUCCAAAACUCCUAUUCU
rnacentral:lncRNA from 1 species